rnacentral:rRNA from 1 species
GACGAACGCUGGCGGCGUGCUUAACACAUGCAAGUCGAACGGAAAGGCCCCUUUGGGGGUACUCGAGUGGCGAACGGGUGAGUAACACGUGAGUAACCUGCCCUUGACUUCGGGAUAACUUCAGGAAACUGGGGCUAAUACCGGAUAGGAAUCCUUGCUGCAUGGUGGGGGUUGGAAAGCUUCGGCGGUUUUGGAUGGACUCGCGGCUUAUCAGCUUGUUGGUGGGGUAGUGGCUUACCAAGGCUUUGACGGGUAGCCGGCCUGAGAGGGCGACCGGCCACAUUGGGACUGAGAUACGGCCUAGACUCCUACGGGAGGCAGCAGUGGGGAAUAUUGCACAAUGGGCGGAAGCCUGAUGCAGCAACGCCGCGUGCGGGAGGACGGCCUUCGGGUUGUAAACCGCUUUCAGCAGGGGCGAAGCUUGUGGUGACGGUACCUGCAGAAGAAGCACCGGCUAACUACGUG